AAACGUAAAGGUGUCUUAGAGAGGAAGAAGAAAGCUUUGAGAUUUUUUGAAGAACCUGCCCUGUUGUUCUUUUCCACGUCGCUGCUGCGACUCAAACCUUUCUUUUUUUUUUCGUCAGCUGCGACUCAACCUUUUAGAAGAUUUGAGUUCUCAUCUUUUGUUUAGGUAGGUUACAGAGUAGUGCCGGCGAAACGUUGGAAAGGUGUGCAAUUGCAGAUAUCUAAAGAACCCGGCGAAUUCAACUCUACGUGGACAAGGGAAAGAUGGUUUUUUUUCUUAAAGUCUCAUUAUAUUGAGAGAAAGAACAAAACAAAAGAAAAGGAGACUCUCUUAGUGAAAUGGUUCGCUGGUAAGACGUCCGACUAAAAGAAAGGACUAAACGUUUCCCGUUCGGCGACCUCUUUCACCAUCGCAAAGUAGGUAUGGAAGACGACGCUUUAGCUUCCGCCGAUGAAAAUCAUAUCGGAGAUGGUGACGUUCCUCCAAUUACCGGAGGUCCAGAUGUCGAUGAGUCGCAAUCAUCUCAUCAGAUCAAUGUCGUCGCAACUGUGAGUUCGUUAUAUCUCUAAGAUUGAUUGGAACAUUGCUACAUUAGAUUGAUUCUCUUGGUUGAUGAUAGGAAAUUGAGGUAAAUUUGAUUCAUUCCGUAGUUUAUAAUGUCGAUGAGGAAAGGCAGAGUCUUUCGAAUCAAAAUAACACUGAGCUCCUGAUUUUGAUGAUGAUAAAAUAUCAAUUUUAUGGAUUGAUGAGACGUGACUUCUCCAAGAGCAAUUGAGGAUCGAAUGCUGAAUCCGUUUGAGCCUCCAUCGACAAGUUUCUGAAUUGGGUUUCACCAGUCGAGCAUUGAGGAUGGGAAGAGAGAAGAAGAAGGAAGAUGAGCAAUUGCGCAUAUCUUAAAAUACACAACAUGGAUAUAGUUUAGUCAAUUUUUAUUUCUCUUGCAAAUUUGAUAUAGUUUUGGUUGAUACAUAUUUGAUUCAUUAAGUACCACAAUUUCCA